rnacentral:rRNA from 1 species
UAUGUGAUCGUCUCUCGCAUAUCAAUAAGCGGAGGAAAAGAAACUAACAAGGAUUCCCCUAGUAACGGCGAGUGAAGCGGGAAGAGCUCAAAUUUGAAAUCUUAAAGGGUUUCCCUUUACGAAUUGCAGUUUAAAGAAGUGUUUUCUGUUGAGGUUUUGGUAAAAGUUCUUUGGAAUAGGACAUCAUAGAGGGUGAGAAUCCCGUAUUUGACCUUUACUUUCAACUUUGUGACACACUUUCAAAGAGUCGGAUUGUUUGGGAAUGCAGUCCAAAAUGGGUGGUAAAUUUCAUCUAAAGCUAAAUAUUGGCGAGAGACCGAUAGCGAACAAGUACCGUGAGGGAAAGAUGAAAAGAACUUUGAAAAGAGAGUUAAACAGUACGUGAAAUUGUCAAAAGGGAAGCGUUUGACACCAGUGUUGUUUUUCUGAAAAUCAAUUAAAGAACUGUUUAUGCUAAGUUGUUUAGACUUUAUCAGCCAACUGUUUAGUUUUGAGCUUUUCUUUAAUGCACUUUUCAGUUAACAAGUCAACAUCAAUUUCUUUUGCUGUAAAAAAGCUUGAGGAAGGUGGCUUGAGAUUCGUCUUAAGUGUUUAUAGCCUCUUGCCUAUGCAGUCGGAGAGAUUGAGGUCUGCAGCGUAGAUCCUUCGGGGCUAAAUGCAUUUGUGCUAAGUUAUAGCAUUUUAUAGACAACUUGUUGACUAUGAUUUGUCUUGUAGCUUACUCGCUUAUGUUAUUUUACCUACGCUUAGGAUGUUGAGUAGCGACAUACGCAC